GUUAACAUGUAUAGUUUUUGCGUAAUAAAGGUUUCGCUUUGAAAAGAAACUCGCUGUUAUAUAUCAAGUUCUUUGCAAAAUACAUAUAUAUAAGUAAAAGAAUCAGACAAAUUAUUCAUCUACAAAUAUCUUUUGUCUUUUAAAUAUUGAUUAAUUCCGCUCAACAACCUGGUUUUAGAUUUUUUUUUUUAUCACUAAUCAUAAGAUAUUUUUACUACUUAAAUUAUAAAAGAAAAACGCCGUACAAAACGCACAGAUUUUAUUCUCAAUUACCUUUUUAUUUUCAAAGCAAAACCUAUGCAAUCGAAUAAGUGUUUCCUCAUUAUACUUCGGUUAUUUUAAAACUAACUCAGUAAAGAAGAAAUCGUUGUGGGAUAUAUCAUUUACAACUGUAUUCGAAUCCGGAACCUGUUACCAGGUAUCGGCCGCAAAAAUAGAGAUCCGUACUUCUCAAAAAACGACAAAAAGAGUAAUAAGAGCAAUACGGAAACCGACAAACAAACAAUAAAUUUAGAGACUAACAUAAGCCAGAGAGGAGGGAAGACAAACUUGACAAAUCAAAAGCGCACGAAUCUGUCUAGACGGUAUGUUUACAAGUCAGAAAAAUCGAUCGAUUUGAAGCGGAUCAACGCCCUAAUGCAGCAUCACGAGAGACUGACGGUAAAUAAACUAACAAUCUAUCAAGUUGUUGUCAGUAGAUCCGUCCCUUUCAGUUCCAUUCGUUUUCUUUUUUUUCGUCAGAGAUACAUAGCUAUUAUUUUUUCGGAAAUAUAUAUAUUUUUUUUGAAUAAUUAUUUUCUCUGAAACUCAAGUUAUUUGCCAUUAGAUAAAACGUAAG